CUAUAAUGCAGUCGAGCGGACAGAUGGGAGCUUGCUCCCUGAUGUUAGCGGCGGACGGGUGAGUAACACGUGGGUAACCUGCCUGUAAGACUGGGAUAACUCCGGGAAACCGGGGCUAAUACCGGAUGCUUGAUUGAACCGCAUGGUUCAAUUAUAAAAGGUGGCUUUUAGCUACCACUUACAGAGGGACCCGCGGCGCAUUACCUAGUUGGGGAGGUAACGGCUCACCAAGGCAACAAUGCGUACCCAACCUGAAAGGGUGAUCGGCAACACGGGGACUGAAACACGGCCCAAACUCCUACGGGAGGCAGCAUUAGGGAAUCUUCCGCAAGGGACAAAAGUCUGACGGACCACCGCCGCGUGAGUGAUGAAGGUUUUCGGAUCGUAAAAUUCUGUUGUUAGGGAAGAACAAGUACCGUUCGAAUAGGGCGGUACCUUGACGGUACCUAACCAGAAAGCCACGGCUAACUACUUGCCAGCAGCCGCGGUAAUACGUAGGUGGCAAGCGUUGUCCGGAAUUAUUGGGCGUAAAGCGCGCGCAGGCGGUUUCUUAAGUCUGAUGUGAAAGCCCCCGGCUUCAACCGGGGAAGGGUCAUUGAAACUGGGGGAACCUUGAGUUGCCAGAAAGAGGAGAGUGAAUUCCACGUGUAGCGGUGAAAUGCGUUAAAGAUUGUGAAGGAACACCAGUGGCGAAGCCGACCUCCUCUGGUCUUGUAACUGACCGCUGAGGCCGCGAAAGCGUGGGGAGCGAACAGAUUAGAUACCCUUGUAGUCCACCGCCGUAAACGAUGAGUGCUAAGUGUUAAGAGGUUUCGCCCUUUAGUGCUGCAGCAAACGCAUUAGCACUCCCGCCUGGGGAGUACGUCCGCAAGACUGAAACUCAAAGAUUGACCGGGGCCCGCACAAGCGUGAGCAUGUGUUAUCGAGCAUCGCGAGACUUACAGUCUUGACAUCUCUGACAACCUAAAGAUAGCUCCCUCGGGC
rnacentral:rRNA from 1 species